CAAUCCACUUCUUCUAGAGACAUGGAAGACUCCUGCCUGGAAUGUGGGCAGGGCCAUGUGAGUAGCUCUGGUCAGUGAAAUGUGAGUGCAUGUGGCUUAUAUCAUCACUUCUGGGCUGAGACAGUUAAAAGCCCACACAUGAUUCUUCAGUUUCUUUUCCUGUGCCACAGCAACCAAGAAGGUCACAUGUUCCAGAAGCUGCAGCUAUAAGCACAAGCGAAAAAUAAACUUCUGUGGUGCAAAGUCACUGAGAUUCAGGAGUUGUUGCCAAAGCGGAGCCGAGCUCAGUGGUUCCCAGUCUGGUCCCAGGCACCACGUAAGAUGUUCCUUUGCUCUUCCUUCAUCUUCCACCAUGAUUGUGAGGCCUCCCCAGCCAUGCUGAACUGGGGUAACCACCACAGGCCCACAGGCUAAAAUUGAGCUGGAGUAAGUGGCAACAGAGAGUAUUUAUUGUCCCCUAAGAGCCCUGGCCCUUGUAGGACAUGUGAAUGCCAGUGCUCAUGGAGAAAGGUGGAGGAAGAGAGCCAGAGUGCAGUUCACCUCUGGGAGAGCAGACCAGAGUGGCUUCCGUGGGCACAUGCUGGAUUGAAGUGAGAAGACGUGACUACUAAAGUUGAGGCCCCAAGUCUCAGCUUCUUCCCCCUCCAAAGCAUGAGUGGAGGAUUCACUUAAGGCCACUUUGAAGCCCAUAUUGGAGGAGCAUUACUCACUCUGAGGAUCCUGGCAUAGGCAGAUGCAUCACUUGUAUUGAAGUAUAUUAUCUGCUGUGAUAUUUAUGAUGAAAUGAGUUUGCCAGCCAUCGUCUAUCAGGGGAUCAAACAUAGGCACCUGCCUGUCCAAGGGGGUCUAAGUCACAGUACAGAAGUGGUUUGCAAAGGCUGGUGGGAUGGUGUGGCAGGCCUGUGGAGUUGAAUAAAAAUCCUGAUGUCCUUCCUGGCAUGAAGAAUGGAGCUGCCAAGCUGCCCCCAGGAGAAGCGUGCUGCCUAUGCAUCUCACUGGACUUCUGUGUACAGAAGAAAUAUUGGUGGUUUGACCAAACGCUCGGGCUCCCCACGACUCCCGUUGUUAUAUGGGAAAGAACAAGAAACUUAUAAACAAAACAGAGCAAAAACUUUCUGGAACUCUCUGGAGCCCUUGGCUGUUCUCUGGACCUUCCUUUGCUGUGUCUUGGGGCAGGCACAUCUUGGCUUAGGCUGAGCUUUUCUAUUUGCCAAAAGAGUCAUCUCAGAGGGCACAGCCUGGAGUGCAGCUCAACAAACAUAUGUGUAACAGCCGAGUGCCACCACGUUAAGAACUGGACUUACAAGAUGGAUAGGACCUGGUGGCAGCUGUCCUUGAGGAAGCCAGAGCCUGGAGAGACAGAUCUCAUGUUAUAGCAGAGUACCAAUAUUCUGCAGAAAACCAAAACCUCACCUGCAUUCCUACUCCUAUCAUGAUGUUCUGCCCCCCGGGACCCUUGUUUAUGCUGGUCUCUCCUUUUGAAAGAACGUUACCCUUUUCUUCACCCAGCAAAUUCUUACUCAGACUUCAAGACUCAGUUCAGAGUCUGGGGAUGAAUAUUCUACAAAUGGCCCCCAGGAUUGUCAUGGUCCUCACGGCAGGUGAUUUGCUCUUGAACAAUUAACAGAGUGAAGGCUGUGUUCCAUCUCCUCACAGUCUCCCGCUGGGCAUCCUUGGGAGCACAGGAGGAGAAAGGCUUUCUUCUUGAUCCUAUUACUGCUGCCCAGCAUCAAGAAGGAUUAAUUAACCCACCAGGUUUUGCUUCAUUACGAGGAAAAAAGAAAAGCCAGUGACAGUGGAAUUCAAACAUUGAACAGGCAAAGGAAUCAGUGCUCAAGCACCUUAUGAACAUUUCGAAGACUUAGCUGGGCGGUGUGGCGCAAUGUAAAGUAGGGUGACUUGGUGCAAGUUACACACCCCUGCAGCCCUGUUUCUUCAUCCUCAGAGUUCACACUUCAAUUCUACAAAUUGAUGGCCUAUUCUGAGCUAAGCCCCGCCCACUCUGAACUAAGCCCCGCCUACUUUGAUUCCCUACUCUGAGCUAAGGAACAGUCUUUCAUCCCCAUGAAAGCUUUCUGUCUAGAAGGAACUAAAGAGCAUAAUUAUACUUAUUUUCCAGUGCUGUUGUUAGAAUUAAUUAAAUGUGGUAUAGCAUGUGAAAGUACUCUGUAACUAAACAUUGUAUAAAUGUUAAUUAUUCUCAUUUUCAUAUUUGAUAUUCAGGCAUUCAAACAAUUAUUGAGCACUUAUUAGGGCAAAGAACUAUACUUGCAGCUAACAGUUACGUGAAAGAAUUCGAAGACAUUGUUUUUGCUGUUUAGGAAGGUCCCACAUGGCAAAGCAAUUAAGACACACACAUGAAAUAAUUAAACAACAAAGUUGGGCCUAAAGAAGUUUCAUCUCACGUGCUAAUCAUGGCUGGCUGGCUAUGGCUAUCUAGAGUAUUAUGCUGAAAAUGAUUCUGAAGCUCUUUCUGGGCUCAAUUGAAAAGGAUGAUCUGGUGGAUUAGCAAUGAAUGCCAUGGGCAUAAGUUGGGCAUGUAGUGGUACGUGGACUAGUUGUUUAUAGUGCCUAAUACAAGGUAGCAAACAUAAUGAUAAAAGUAACUGUUAUUGAAAUUCAGCCAAGAUUGGUAUCAGUGUAGGCUUGUAUGACUGACAAAGAAUGUAGAGGAGCUAAAGAGUAAGCUUGACCUUGAAUUACGAGUAGGACUUCAGUGAAGAUAGGAGGCUAUUUCAGAAUGCAGGGCAUCUGGUAGGGAGUAGUGGAUGGUGGAGAGUAAGGAACUCAGUACUUGAUUCAAAGCCUGGGUCUCCCAGAAGUGAGCUGUGUGGCUUGGGCCACUUUAUCUCCUGAGGUCUCAGAGUUUUCAUGUAUAAAAUUGUAGAACUUGUCUUGAUGGUUUUGAACAUUCUUUCUAAUUCUGCACAACAGUCCAUUUGUGGGUUAGAUGAGCCUUUACCAAACUGUAUUUCAUGGAACAAUGGUCCCAAGAGCUGUUCUGUGAAAAGUAAGUUUCAUCAUCAAAUAAUUUUGAGAAAUUCUGAAUCCUAUAUACGUGUUGAUUCCUAUUUCUUUCCUUCCAUUCUUUCUUGAGUCCACUCUGAUUGGUCCUUAAAGUUGGAGUUUAUUUUUAUCAUUAUUGUUAUUGUCAUGGUAGUAAAGAUGGACAAAGGCAGAUUCCACAAACAUCUCAAAAUAAAAGUCAAUAGGACUUGGUGAUUAAUUGCAUAUAGGCAAUGCAGGAGAGGGUCUAAGCAAAGAUGUCAAGUAUUUCAAACUAGAAAAUGAAUAGAAUAAGCCAGGGAAUUAUUGAUGGACAAAAGAAGUUGAACCAGGUUGGUGGACAUGGAGCAGGGGUGCGGAGGGAGAAUACCAUCCUGCAGGCUAGGUACCUCAUGGGUACAGGAAGAGAUGCAUCUAGGUUACUCACAGCUAUGGAAGAUUAUUGCAAAGGUGUAAGAAAAGGUGAAGGAGAUCAUCUCAGCAGCAGCAGCAACAGCACAACGUUGGGGUCUAUAGAGACCACCUUAGUUUGCCUAAGACUAAGAAAUUUCUCAGGACACGAGCCUUUCAGUUCAAAAACUAGGUAAGUUCUGUACCAAAAAAGUUAGUUGUAUUAUUAGGGGAUCAAUUUUCCUUAUUCUAGAAUGGACAGCUGGAUUCAUAAUCAAAGGACAAUGUGUUGUUGCCAGCAAUUUCUGUUGAGCAUUUUAUGAACAGAGUUUAGAUUAGCCCCUUAACAGAUGGCUGGUGUCUCCUGUGCCUAGCACAUGUAGAAGCAUCUUUAGCCCGUCCAACCCUCUCUGGUCUUCCUGGCUAUGGCUGGGUAACAUUUGGAUCCACCUCUUAAUGGAGUAUGCCAUAUGCAGUGGGAAAAACAGAGAGGACUGCUUUCAUACCAUAUUCGUGUGAUAGAAUGAAUAAUUCUUUCAUGGGUUCCUCCCCGAGUCCAUCCAGUUCAGAGGAAAGAUGAUUAGGACUUUCCUCCAGCUGACUUUAAGGGAGGGUGGGAUGUUUAGGUAGAGGAGUAUUUACAAAAUCAGGGGAAAGAGUUGCAUUUGGGCUUAAAAAAUUCCUGAAUAUUCUUUUUUAAAAGAAAUGCCUGGUCAAAUACCGUAGGGAAUUACUGAGGAAGAACUUGAAAGAGGGAUGGAGAAGGAAGAGGAAAGAUAGAAAAGAAAAGAGACAGUAGGAGAGAAAAAGAGAGGAGAGAGAGAGAGAGAGAGAGAGAGAGGUUUGUCACAACCAGGUUUUCCCACCCCUACCUAGGGCAUUAGAACCUUCCACUAUUGCAGCUAAGAGAAUAGAGCAUGUGAACAGCUUGUACAUUUACUUAAACACCAAUGGUUUCAGCUUCUCAUACUGCACUCUACUCAAAGGUACAGUAGAUUCAGGGACCUGUCACUUAAGACAACUCUUUACCUUCCAACCAACCAAAGUGCAUUUUACAAUGUCAAUGCCAUUUCACAGAGAGGGGCAUUCAUCAGGGGUGUCUGAAGUCCAGGCCAGCCUGAGAAGGAGGUGCCAAGGCUUGGGAGUUGAGGGACCCAGGUCCUAGCUUUCUCUCCACUGGGCUCCAUUGUGUGAUCAUGGGCAACUGGCUAAACAUCUCUGGACUUUGUUCUUCCAACCUUUAAAAGGAAGCAAGGACCCACUCUUUUUGUUGAAAGAAGCUGGAGAGAGUAACUGCUGAGCCCAGGGAGAGGAGGGCAGAUGCAGGGCCAUUGUAGCCUGCUCUCACGAAUAUAAACACUCUAGAGUUUGGUCAACCCCAAAGGCCCUUUCUUCCUUAUUGGUUACUCAGGAUUUCCAAUCACCUGGGGCUCUCAAAAGUCAACAGGGGCCACUCAGCUAACCUCAGGGGUUUGAUAUAACCGGCAGGUGAAAGAGGCCAAAAAGACCUCCCCAGACUUCAGCGAGUUGUCAGCCCUUAAGCCCUUGAGCCUGCAGCAGGGGAUGAAAUAUCCUUUGGUUUUCAAAUCCCAUUGACCCAGGGCUUAUCCACGAAGGCAGGCUGGAACCUGGAGCAUAGGGCGAAGGCAGAUGUGGCAGGUUGGCUCUAGGCAGAAUCACUUGGUAGACCCGUCCUCGGCACCUGAUUCUACAUCUGGAAAAGUGAGUGAUAACUGUUGGAGUAAUAGUCCUCAGGAGUGCCUGUUAAAAGGGAUCAAAGCUUUGUGCUAAAGGGGAUCCUAGGAAGUAUAAGAGAAAUAGCUGAGAGCAGCCAAAAGGUACAGGAUGUGGAAUAGGGGCACGGAGGCAGCGCUGGUAACCAGCCCUGCACACACUCAUUAAGGCCCAACCAUGAGCUGUGACCAGAGAGUUGGGAUAUGCAUUUGGAAGUUGAAGUCCAAGUUUACAUCUUUCAUUGUGAGUCCUCAGUGGACCCAUCUACCUGUUGAUGGUGAACAGGUCCAAGACUGUAAUGAGGUGUAAGUACCAUUAGGUGGCGAUACAUGAAUGCCUUUCCCAUCUGGUUCCAAAAGAAGAGCACUAUGGGUUUGUCUCCCAGCUCAGGCUUAUAAGCAGCACAUCCAUGUUCCCUGCAUCUGUAGAUCAGCUUUAGCACCCACAGUGCCAGCUGCAAGUGGGGGUAGUGUGUGUGCGUUUUGAGCGCGUGCAUGCACAUAUGCCAAUUGUUGUGUAUUUUCACCUCAAUGUCGGUGACCAGCAAAUGAGGCAUCAGUGACACCCUGGCAGCAACUGACUACUUGGGCCACACUCUGAAAAUGGAUUGCCUCUGUUUUCUCUGCUUGAUCUUCACUGGGGGAAAAGAGUUAAAUUCGAUUUCCAGGAGCUCUCCAUGAGAGCCAACUUCAGCACAAGUUCCCAUUUCCAGAGAGGCUGCCGAGUCUCUCAUUUGUAAAGGCCUCCUCCCUUUGCCCUGAGCGGACUAGCCUUCCCCUACUUCUGCCUCUUUGCCUCUGUGUCACAGUUUUGUGGUCGAUGACACCCUCUCCUUAUCCUGCACCUCCUCCUGGUCUUGCCGACAUGGCUCAAUACUUUGUGCCUAAAUACAGGACUUGUACCAGUCUCCUAUGUCCCCGUGGAGGGCCCAGUGACAAAGGAAAAAAACCAGCCUUUCUCUGCUCAUCUGGGUGCAUAGGGCUCACCCUGAGGGAAGCUGGAAGUGGCAGCAAAUUUUUGUUUAUAAAUAAAAACAAAGACAACUUGUCGUUCCAAAGGAAAAUGCCCCCUGGUGAAAGAAACACUUAAAACCACUGAAGAAUUAGUUUCGUUUUGUCCUUGGUGGCCACCCUGUCAGCAGGUUUCCUUGAUCUUAUGUUGGUGACAGAGUCUCAAACUGAAUGCCAAGGGAAGGAUUCCACACAUAUUCCUUGGAUUUGUAGCUGAGGUACAGCCCUGGGCCUGGGGACAUGGAGAAGACCCAGCCUGCAAAACUCAAUCAUGGCUCUGCAGAUUUUACCCAGUUUGGAGAUCUACUAGCUACCACACUCGACACACACACACACACACACACACACACACACACACACUAUGAUGGAUGUCAUUCUUGUCUGCAACAUGCUCUAGUGACUGGGCCCAAGUCAGGCACAGCUUCUUGUGUGAACUGAAACACCAUUCUUUUCUUCCCUGUGUGAAAAAACAGAAUACAAGGGUGAGUGAUCUUAUGAAAACACUACUGAAUCUGUUCCAUUUUACAUAUUCACAAAAUUGAGGCCACUUAAUGUAAUAGAUAAAAGUAAUACAGAGACAACUACAAUAGGAAACAAAAGGUGAGAAAUGACAGAAGAAACAACACUCAGUGAAUACUGGGACUCAAGAGCAGGAGCAAUGGCAGCCACUUUGGAGUAGGAAGGUGAGCACUAGGAAGGGCCCCCCACCCCCUGCAAUAAGCUUUGAUGGACGGAUGGAAUUUUUUUCAAGGUAUUCUUUUUUAAAAAACAUCUUUAUUGAGAUAUACUUCAAAUACUAUAAAAUUCACUCAUUUAAAGCAUACAAUGCAGUGGUUUUUAGUAUAUUCACAGAGGUACACAACCAUUGUCACAAUCUAAGUUUAGAACAUUUUUGUCGCCUCUAACAGAAACAUGCAGUCAUGAGCAGUCAGCCCCAUUCACCCCUCACUCCCCAGCCCUAGGCAACCACUAGUCUACUUUCUGUCUCUAUAGAUGUGCCUAUUCUAGGUAUUUUAUAUUAAUGGAAUUAUAGUUUUUUGUGGCUGUCUUCUUCAACUUAGCAUAAUGUUUUCAAGGUUUGUCCAUGUUGUAAAAGGUGUCGGUACUUCAUUUCUUUUCAUGGCCGAAAAAUAUUCCAUUGUAUAGAUAUUCCCCAUGUUUGUUUAUUCAUUCAUCUAUUAAUGAACAUUUGGGUUGUUUCCACUUUUUGCCUAUUAUGAGAAAUGGUGCAGUUCUUUCAUCUGCAUGUUUUUAUGUGGACAUGUUUUCAUUUCUCUUGGGUGUAUACCUAGGAGUGGAAUUGCUAGGUCAUAUAUUAUCCCUAUGUCUAACUUUUUGAGGAAUUGCCAAACUGUUUUUCAAAGUGGCUGCACCUUACCGCAUUCCCACCAGCAAUAAAUAAGGGUUUCAAUUUAUCAGUGUCCUUGUUAUAGUCUGUCUUUUUGAUGAUAGACAUCCUGGAGGGUGUGAAGUGGUAUCUCGUUGUGGUUUUGAUUUGCAUUUCCCUGAUGACUAAUGAUGUUGAGCAUCUUUUCAUGUGCUUAUUAGCUAUUUGUAUUUUUUUUUUUUGGUGUUGGGGGACAUAUGUCUAUUCAAAUCCUGGGCCCAGGUCAGGCACAGAUGCUUUUUAAUUCGGUUGUCUUUUUAUUUUUGAGUGGAUGGCUGAGUUUUUGAGAGGUGUAGGAGUGUAGGAGCAAAAGCUUAGAUGUGGAAAAGGUAGGCACUUGUAAGGAGUAAGAAGUAAAACAGAUUGGCUUCAGAGUGUAGCAUUUUCAUGAGAGAUGUGACUCUGCAUUUAACAGAAAAGGC
rnacentral:lncRNA from 1 species